UUUUCUGAUUAUAAUUUCUCUCGCUCUUCCACUCUAUUCUUCAUAUUUUCAAACUACAAUCAUCACAAUCUCUAAUCUCUACACACCCAUAGGAAAUUUUAGAAAUAUAGACACCCAUUAUUUUUUGAGAAACCAGACCACCCACCUUGUAGAUUUGAGAGAGGAGGCGUGUGGAGAUGAGCAUUGCAAGCGCUGCUGCUGCUGCUCAUGCGCUUGCUGCUGAUGACGAUGAUGCUGUCCCCACCCCCAACACAUAGCAACUCCAUCACAGACGUCCGUUCCCCAUCCCGCGCACGGAGCAGCCGUCGAUGGCGCCACAGCCGCAUCACCACCCUCAUCAUCGCCAUCCUCUCCCUCUUCCUCGCCACGUCAGCCUGGCUCUCCCUCGUAUUCUCCAACGCCAGCUGGCACCACCGCCUCCACGGCUGGGAGGGCAGCCCCCUCCUCCAUCACCACCGUUCAUUCCCCUCCGGGUCCCACCUAUCCGACGCCUCUCCGCCACCCCCGGCCGAACCCGUGGGCCCCGCCGAGGAACUCUCCUUGAAGCACAUCGUCUUCGGCAUAGCCGGCUCCGCCCACCUCUGGAAUCGCCGCAAGAACUUCGUGAAGCUCUGGUGGCAGCCCGGCGCCAUGCGCGGGCACGUCUGGCUUGAGGAGACGCUCCUUGACCCUAUCCCGGAUUCCGAGGCUGGAUCCCUGCCGUCGAUCCUCGUCUCCGAGGACAUCUCCCGGUUCCGCUACACCAAUCCCACCGGCCACCCGUCCGGCCUCCGGAUCUCGAGGAUCGUUGCGGAGUGCUUCCGCCUCGGCCUCCCCGACGUGCGAUGGUUCGUCCUCGGUGACGACGACACUAUCUUCAACACCGAAAACCUCGUCAGUGUCCUCCGCAAGUACGACUACCGGGAGAUGGUCUACAUUGGAGGGCCGUCCGAGAGCCAUUCUGCAAACACCUACUUCAGCCACUCCAUGGCAUUCGGCGGCGGUGGGAUCGCCAUCAGCUACCCGCUCGCCGAGGCCCUCUCAAAGAUACAGGAUGAGUGCCUCGAGCGCUACCCGAAGCUGUAUGGCAGUGAUGACCGCCUCCAUGCCUGCAUUACCGAGCUCGGCGUCCCUCUCACGCGUGAAUAUGGCUUCCAUCAGUGGGACAUUCGUGGAAGCCCCCAUGGCCUGUUAUCCGCCCACCCAAUUGCCCCUUUCAUCUCAAUCCACCAUGUUGAAGCUGUGGACCCCUUCUACCCAGGGUUGAAUUCACUCGACAGCUUGAAGCUUUUUAUGCAGGCGAUGAAAGCUGAUCCGAGGAGCUUCUUGCAGCGGGCCAUCUGCUAUGAUCGCUCGCAGCGGUUAACGUUCUCGGUCUCGUUGGGUUAUGUCGUUCAGGUGUUCCCGAACAUUGUGCUGCCACGGGAGUUGGAGCGGUCGGAGCAGACUUUUUCAGCUUGGAACAAGCUUAGUAAUAGGAAUGAGUUUGAUUUUGAUACAAGGGAUACUUAUCGAUCCGUUUGUAAGAAGCCCAUUAUGUUUUUCUUGAAAGAUGUUAUGAGGGAUGGGAAUGUGACAGUUGGUUCCUAUGGUCGGGGGAAAGGGAGAGACGAUUUGAAGAGGAAGGUUUUCUGCUUUCCGCGGUCGGUUCCGCUGUGGGGCGUAAAGGAUAUUCGGGUGUUGGGGAAUCCACUUAGCGAGAAUUGGCAUUUGGUGCCAAGGCGACUCUGCUGCCGAGUUAACCAAACAAGUGAUGAACAGCUGGAAGUAACAGUCAGGCAAUGUGAAAGGGGAAUUUCUGGGUCGGUUGUGGAUUCUGUGUGACUACUGAUGGAAGGAAGACAUGAUUUAACUUGAAUAUGAAGUUCAUAAUUGCAAAGGGCCUUCUUUUCAUAUGCUUCGAUUCUUUCAUUUCAUCCUCUGAUUGGGACCCACAAGUCAUGAGCCAUUUCUGCGCAUAUCUAAAGGCUAAAAGGAAGGAUCAUGGAUACCUGAAAGUAGUUUCUAAUGUACACAGUUGAGUUGAAAGACAUUGAGUGCACAUACUUUGAGCUCAGGAAAUUACAUUCUUUGCCUUCGCUUUUGGUUCAGAAGGUUUAAGCAAAAUCCUUGAGGAAUGAACAGUCAGCUUGUAUCUCCCAGCGUAUCGAAUAUGAUGAUAUACAAUGACAGACAUGUUUCAAAGAGUUGUUGAUCCCCCGUGUUUGUCAUUGUCCCAAGGUAAUUUGAUGACUUAGCUGAGACAUGCCCACAAAGCUUUUGUUCCUCUCCGAUUUCCUUCUUAUCAAAAUUUUUGAACAGUUCUAAAACUUGGAGACCCACAAAGCUGGUUAUCGAAUUAUUAUUAUUGUUGUUGUUGUUGUUAAUAAUACUAUUUGUUGCUGUUGUUGUUGUUGUUGUUAUUAUUAUUAUUUCCUCUCUAGUUGUUUUGUUGGUAAGAUCGAGAGAUUUGCCUUGACAUACAAAUUUCUAACCUCAUCAAUGUGUUAGGCAACAUUGAUUGAACAUGCUCGAGGACUUGGUUAAAGCUAGUUCCCUAGUAUCUAGACUGACCUGAAACCCUCAAGUGUAAACCCUUAGUCACUGGUCUUGAACCCUGAUGGACGGAAGUCAAUUGAUCAUCAACAACCUUUCUAUGAGCAAGUUAGACCUGUGUGUCUUUAAGGGGGAGAGGGUGUUGAAUUGGCUGCGCCCUCAAGUCCUAGAGCACGGUUUCAUAGAUCAGGACUGGGAGCAUGACCUGGGCUGUCAAGUCAUUAUGGACGGGACCUCUGACGCUUUUAUCAAACACUUAACGCUGUCUGACCAGAAGUUUUCUUCCAGAGCAUGAGCACCCAUAGUUCAAUGCCAAUAGAAAGGAGGUAAGAACUCUUUCCAUCCUUUCCAGGGUUUGUGAUGAAAAAAGGUUGGAAGUGAUUCCACUUGAUGCUCAGAACAUUGUCACAGUUUUGCUAAGCCCAAAUGCAGGUCGCAGACAACUCUUCAAGUGUCCACUUGUCAGGUGGACCUCUCUGUGUAGAUGACCUAGCUGAAGAAUCUGGCUUUCAACUCAUCAGGUGGGCCACGGGUAUGAAAACGGUAGGAUGAUUUUAAAGCAGCAACAAGCAGUCUAUGUUCAAUGCACAGGCAUGGGCAGACUAUCUACAUUUGAGGGCCCACCUGAUGCAUGGCUUGGCUGUUGCAACACGUGCCAACCAUGUGGGUUUUGCAUCAAGAGCUUAGCAAAAUGCCUUUUUGUCUCUGGAAAUUUUUAGACUUGGUUUUGCUAAUUAGGUGUGGGGUUGGACACACUGCAGAAUUAGGAGAGUGAGCAUUCCUCUUAGCUCUAUCAUCUUCAACAGUAAAAUUUUGAACCUUCCACAUCAUUAUCAUCAUCUCAAAUUGGAUACAUUUGAAGCGAAACAAGCGUCCAUAGUCUCACAUGGAGUUUCCCCACCAAUCAAGGAGCACGAAACUUCAGUGCCCUGAAACUCUUGAAAUGAGGCUGAUCAGACAACAGUUAUAAAGAUGAGUGGCCUGCCCAAGGUUGUGUCCACCUUGGUGCAUGCUAUGACUUUGUGAUUGCUAUCAUGUAGAAGAAUUGGUAAACACUACGUAGGCAGUUCUAAUGGAGUUAUGAGCUACCUUUACACUGCUCCAGUUGUAGAAGAGAGAGAGAGAGAGAGUCUCUGACUGCUUUCCUGAAAUGGAGACAUUAGAAGCCUACUCCAAAACUUCUCAUUUCGUGAGGACUCAAGAUUUAGAAGGAUUAUGAUUGGAAUGUUUUGAAACAUCAAAAUUCAUUUGACCAGUCUAGAUAGGUAGAAUCAAGCAAGUGGACAUGGAAAAAGUAAAUGCUUUGUAUGUGAUUUGGCACUUAUGAAAAAUGGAUUCCAUUUUUAGGGUUCA